UUAAAAUGAUGAACAUAAUUCUUUGGUCCGUGUUUUAGAUGGGGAAGUAAGACCCCCCGGCAUGACUGACAUAUGAACAGGCAGGUGACACUGUCAGAUCUGACAAU
rnacentral:snoRNA from 1 species